GAUGAACGCUGGCGGCGUGCCUAAUACAUGCAAGUCGAGCGAACGGACGAGAAGCUUGCUUUUCUGAUGUUAGCGGCGGACGGGUGAGUAACACGUGGAUAACCUACCUAUAAGACUGGGAUAACUUCGGGAAACCGGAGCUAAUACCGGAUAAUAUUUUGAACCGCAUGGUUCAAAAGUGAAAGACGGUCUUGCUGUCACUUAUAGAUGGAUCCGCGCUGCAUUAGCUAGUUGGUAAGGUAACGGCUCACCAAGGCAACGAUGCAUAGCCGACCUGAGAGGGUGAUCGGCCACACUGGAACUGAGACACGGUCCAGACUCCUACGGGAGGCAGCAGUAGGGAAUCUUCCGCAAUGGGCGGAAGCCUGACGGAGCAACGCCGCGUGAGUGAUGAAGGUCUUCGGAUCGUAAAACUCUGUUAUUAGGGAAGAACAUAUGUGUAAGUAACUGUGCACAUCUUGACGGUACCUAAUCAGAAAGCCACGGCUAACUACGUG
rnacentral:rRNA from 1 species